UGUCAGUCAGACUGUGAGGACUGCUCACAAAAACACUGCUGAUUGCUUUCACUUGAAUUCAUCUCAUCACUACACCAUGGGUGCUCGGCAGUCCACCAUUCAUAUUACAAACAAGACCCACGGCUACACCCUUUGUAACCCCAGUCUACAUCUUGUUAGCGGACUUUGCCAGAUUCCUUUGCCAACAAAACUCAAGCCUUCUGAAUCUGGCAAUGCUCUGUUCUCUAAGAUUGGUGGCACAGCGUGUGGAUCUGUUGGAGUCUUCACCUACGAUCUCUACAAUCCAGCUACAGACAGAGCUGAUAAGAAAAUUGCCAUCAUGUUCUCUGUUCCUUUUGACUAUGGCCGGUACUCUAACUGGUUUGCAGUCGGAGCCUUUGACAGGGAAACAAACUGUGAUAAUGAUCUUUAUCACAAGAUGUAUUACAGUGAUGAGAGAGGGUUUGUCAGAGGAAAAGCUGAUGGUCAUGAUCUGAAACACAGAGAUGAUGAUGUUGUCGUUACAUCGGGCAUGACAAACUCCAGUGUUGCAACACUGAAAGUUGAUGUACACAACAGGGAACAAAUCAUUAAAAUGAGAGGCUUAAAUGAGAGGUCUUAUUGUUUUUAGGGCAGAUCUAGCAAAAUGGCAUGAUCACCCUUCAUUAAUAUUAUCUGGAUUUACUCACCCUAAGGCUGAUGAUCAGGAUAUCAGAUGGUUAAGGGCCCCAGGGCUUCCCUUUCUUCUACAGAAAAUGAUCCUUAUAAAAUCUAGAGCAAAGAUAUGCCAGUAAAACACAACACUGUUGUAAAAAGGACAUCCGAUUAAGGCUGCAGCUGUUUGAAAUUGUGAACCAGCUUCACAGUACAGAAAACUCAGGUUAACCCUAAAGUUACUUGAAUAAGCUAAAAUCCUCUGGAGUUAAAACCUUUAGUACUUUAAAAAUUAGCUUUGACAUUGAAUCAUUAAAGAUCAGCUAAAGCAGGCACAACAUGGUCACAUAGACGGAAUAUAUGAGUUGGAUAACUGGUCAAAUCAGACUGAA